AUCUGUAAAAUGGGGUGGAUAUAACCACACUCACAAAGUUAUUUUGUAUGCUUUAUGCUGGGGAACAAAUCUCUUCUUAUUUCACUCCAACACCUUUAACAGACAAAGCUUGUUGGCCUGACAAAUCUGUGACAAUGCCCCUAGGCCCUGAUUUGACAAGCUGUGAGAUGCCCAUUUUCGCUUGAGUCAUAACUUUAUUAGUGUUGACACAUCCUGUUAAUGGAUUUUAUUAUGUGGUAAUGAUACAAUGAAAGUUUACAUUGUAGUAAUAGCUACGACUAUAAUUGGGAGCCUAUAGGGUAGCACAUGCCUCACAGAAAUGAUGUUAGUGUUUAAACUUGUCCUGCAUUAAACCAUGACACCUGGUAGAAAUUAAUGCCCUGGAGCAGAGUCUCACUCUCUCACCCAGGCUGGAGUGUAGUGGUACAAUCUUGGCUCAGAGCAACCUCUGCCUCCCAGAUUCAAGGAUUCUCCUGCCUCAGCCUCCUGAGUAGCUGGGAUUACAGAUCACAAAGAAGAACUGACAUCUUACCUGUCUUUAAAGAACAUCACUUCUCCCCGAAUCGUAGUUAUAGCAUCAAAGAGUCGCUGGGAAGCUGUGAGACACCACACCCCAGAACAGCAGCAGCAGCAGUGGAGGAAAGCUGUGCAUACUGGCCUUUGUCUUCUUUCUCAGUGCAAGGUGGUGAUUUAAGAAGGUGCGUUGCCUGGACACUAAACAACAUAGCUGUGUUGCUGCCGUGAGGAAAGCCAGCCUCAAGCUGGUGCAAUAAACAGGAGCUCGCAGAGUCCCGUGGCCGCGGAGGGGCGCCAGACUCCGGGGAAGAGCCAGAGCGAGGUCCGACGAAUCGGGCUCUGCUGGCGACCAGCCCCCUUCCUUUCCUCCCUGGUGGGGCUGGCGGUGGGUGACCACGGCCGCAUCUGGGAGGCGACUCUUCGGAUUCAAGAUGACCAACAAAAAACCCUCUUCCCCAAAGGGUUAGACUGAGCGAAACUUCAAACGGAUGGCAGGAGAUGAAUGAAUUCUAAAAUGGAAACAAUAUGAAACACAUGCGCAAGCUUUGGAGGCAAGAACGCUGACCUCAACCUCAGUGAAAACUAAAGCAAAAGCAGCAAGAGUCUGCGCGGGGCAAACGUCCUUGCGAUGCGACUAGCAGACAAGAGGCAGGAGAUGCGAGGCGUCCUACCCGAAUUUAGUACCUCCAGCAAAUCUGUGGCCCAGCGUGGCCCGAUCAACAAUGGUAGACCGAGCCAUCAACCUGUUUUCCUAAAAAUGAAAGGUGAUCUGGCCCUGACUGAAGACAAACGGGAACAAGCCCAAAAUGAACAGAGUGCCUGGAAGUUUACGCCUGGUAGGUAAACUCUCCAGUCAUAUUCUCAGUCAAGGCUUCCCUGACAGUCCCACUACUAGAAAGUCACUGGGGGGACAGCCAAGGACUCGUUUCUACACCAACACUCAGACUUUUUGAGAGGAAAGGAAAAAAGCCGCAUUUUUAUACUCCCCAGCUCCUAAUGGUUAAUGUGAAACUUACCAAUGAACCUUGCACUUCAGUUCUUUCCCUCCCCAUCCGCUUUGCUUCAGAAGCCUGGUAGACUUGCACUAUCCCAAAGAAGCGGCCACCUCUGAAGAAUUCCUCUUUGGGAACAUGUGGAUACUUGAGAAAUGUUUCUGUUUGAAGAAAAUAGAGGGAGAAACAAGGUCCUAAGGCACACAAUGUCUUUGGACAGUUCGGAGAAAUGAAAACCUGGAGACUUUAAAUCAUGAAUUGAACAUAAAUUCCAGUAAAAUGGAAAAUGGACUAUGCAUUGCUCUUACCCUUGAGCAUAGUGACUUAGAAACUCUAAAGAGCAGGUCUUCAAAUAACAUGGAUUAGUUAUGACGUCGAAGAGAAAAAAAAUCCAUUUCCGGUCAGGGCCAUGGUCUGUGUGGAGUUUUCAGGUUCUCCCUGUGUCUUUGUGGAUUUUCUCUGGGUACUUGGUUUCCUCCCACAUCCCACAGCUGUGCACAUGAGGCUCACUGGCUUGUCUACAUGGUCGCAGACUGGUGAGUGUGAGUGAGUAUGAGUGCGCCCUGCGAUGAUGGAAUGGAGUCCUAUCCAGGGCUGGCCUGAGCUGCCAGGAUGGGCUCCAGCCACUCAACACUCUGAACUGAAACAAGAAGUUUCCAAGAACUUAUCCAGAUGUUAAAUGAGGACUUUUCAACAUAUUGGUUUUGCCAGUAAGACUGUGAACUUCAUCAUUGUUGUUGAACUGCUGGGUCAAAACUCAAAUGAGAUUGAGCAAGUUGAGGUUGAGACAGAUUUCGAUGCUUCCUCAAGGUUACUCAGCAAGGAAGAAUGGAGACAGCACUCGGUGCCAGCUCUGUCUGAAAACACAGCCAGAUUCCAGGUUACAGGGUUAUUCUGCUUCCGAUCAGAUAAAUUCUCCACUUGCUUGGAAACUCUCAUCACCUAUUUCUUUCUUCCCCAAAAAUCCUCCUCCCUUUUCCCUGCAUUGCAGCCUAGGAAGCACAGCAACUAUUUCAAAACACCAGGGGACCCUUUAGUGCUCUGCAAACAUGGUGAUCAGGUUACCUUUCAAUAAAGAUCAUCAGCCUCCACUUC
rnacentral:lncRNA from 1 species